UCUCUCUCUCUCUCUCUCUCUCUCUCUCUCUCUCUCUCUCUCUCUCUCUCUCUCUCUCUCUCUCUCACCCCUUCCUUCACCAUCCUCGCCUCCGUUGCGCUGCACCAUCUCUCCUCCGCCUGCGACGCCGGAAACACUAUGCAAAUCUAAAACUUCGGCGUUUGAUUCCUUCUCGGAGACCGAGCCCUCGUCACCCUUCGCUCGGCGCUCGGCGCUCUGCACUCGUCAGUCGGUGCUCGGCGGUCGGCUGUCGGCGUUUGGCAGUCAACGUUUGGCGCUCGCCGCUCGGCCUAACUGAAGCAGAUCUUGUCCUGAGCCUCCUCCCAAGCGCCGGCGGCGAAUGUAGCAGUGAUUUUUCAAGUCACAAGGUGAAAAGAUGAGUGGACUUGAGGAAGGUGUGAGGAUUCUAGAUUGCAGUGUCAUUAGCCUCCGGCAAAUUGGGGUCCCGAUCGGCGUCAUUGAGGAAGGCAAGCUUUGCUGGGCGGCGGAGGAAGGUUGGUUGUCGCUUAGUCUCUAAGAGGUAUGACGGUCGGAGGAAGACUGGUUCUGAGUUGUAGCAUAAGGUUGGACGCCGGAGUUGACACCAACGCCGGUCGGGAAGUGUUUGGGGUGGCCAGAGCAAUUUUUUGGUUUGGGCUUAGGUCCUUGACAACGGGCUGGAGGUUUAGAUGCCCUUAUGGGCCUCACAAUAAUGUUUCAAUAUUUUAUUGGGGGUUAGUAACUAUUAUUGGGGUCAAUAACUGGAUUAUGUUCUGGUAUUUCUUCUUUUCUAUUACAAUAAGCUAAAAUAAGUUGAUUAUUAGGGGUCAGUAAUUGAUUAUUAAGGGUCAGUAACUGAUUAUUGGGGGUCAGUAACCCAGUUAUUGAGGGCCAGUAACUGAUUAUUAACUGAUUAUUAGGGGUCAGUAACCAAGUUAUUGGAGUCAGUAACUGAUUAUUGAGGGUCAGUAACUGAUUAUUAAGGGUCAGUAACCGAGUUAUUGAUGGCCAGUAACUGAUUAUUGAGGGUCAGUAACCGAGUUACCGGUGACCGAAAUCUGGCGACGGGAGAAAAAUUGAGUUACUGGGGGUCAGUAAUUAAGUUACCGGUGACCGGAAUCCGGCGACCGGGGAAAUCCGGCAACCAAAGUCCAGUGACCGGAGUCCGGCGGACGGUGACCGGAGUCCGACGGCUGGUGAUCGGAGUCCGAAGAGGUUCCGGCCAAGUAUUCUCUCUCUUUCACUUUUUCUCUCUAUGCAUAUUUAAGAGGUGAAUGUAAAAUAGUUUUAAAAUAAUAUAGUUUAUUAAGACUUUAGUAAAGAUUUGUGUAUUUAGGCAUAAAGAUUUGUGUAUUUGGGCAUAAAAAAUGUUACCUUAUAUUGAAAUGGGCUAAUAAAAAAGAUUGUCAUUAGAAUAAGAAAUAAAAAAUUUAAAUUAGUACUAAAUAGACAUUUUCUCUAUUUAUAAUUAAUAAGUAAUUCACUGAUCGUCUUAUUCCUAAAUAAGAAAAAGAAAACGAAAAAAAGAAAGGAAAAGCUGGUGUGACUUUAAAGCGUCAGGAAGCGCGCGUGAGGCAGAUGUCCCUCGUGAUUAUGAAGCAUGAGGCGCGCAUAAACCUAGACGAACGCGGCAGACACCAUCAGCAUACGAAAUUUCAUGACGUCAUCAUGACCAUAUAAAUCCAGCGGUUGAAACCCAACGUAGGAAAAAGAAAACUAGAAUACAAGAAACUCACCUUCGUUAUCACCACAACCACCUCCAGAAAAUAAAGAGAGAAGAGAAUAUCAACAAACACCUCUCUCUCUCUCNNNNNNNNNNNNNNNNNNNNNNNNNNNNNNNNNNNNNNNNNNNNNNNNNNNNNNNNNNNNNNNNNNNNNNNNNNNNNNNNNNNNNNNNNNNNNNNNNNNNNNNNNNNNNNNNNNNNNNNNNNNNNNNNNNNNNNNNNACAACAACUACCUCUCUCUCUCUCUCUCUCUCUCUCUCUCUCUCUCUCAAAAGCAAAAUCAGACUUCACGGAAUAAGCUUGGCAUGGUAUAAAAACGCUUCCGGUAUUCGUCUGAUUUUGACAACACGGAAAAUGGAGCAGACAAGAAAGAGGAGGGAGAAAGACGUCGACGACGAAACGAAGAAGAGCCGAGGAGGGGGCAAGAGGAAGAAGACAACGCAGCAGAUGAUCAAGGCCGACGAUAACGAGGUGUCAGCGACGGAGGAGGAAGUGGAGGAGUUCUACGCGAUAGUGAGGAGGAUGCAGGCCGCGGUCAAGUACUUUGAGAAAGGUAAUAAUAACAAAAAUAUUCAGACCAAUAUUAACAAUAAUGGCGGGGAUCAGGUGCGGUGGAGAGCGGCGCUGGAGUCUACUUUGCCGGUGGUUGAUGCUGACGAUCAUGUAAAGAGUGCGACUAAUUCGGAUGACGAUCAUGAUCAUGAUCAGUUGGUUGUUGUUACUGAACUAGCUGACAAUAAUGAGGUGGUUCUGGACCUGAACGAGGCGCCGGUUGAGGAGGCGGAGACUACUACUGCGUAGUACUUAAGCUGGCACUAAUAUUCCUAAUUGCCGUACGACGUUGUGUCAGUGGAUUCCCCGGGCGGCGGGCACAGGUUGUCGGUGUCGCUUGUUCAUCGUAUGACUUUAUAGUCAAUUUUCUAUAAUAAUUUCCAUCUGUUUUUUCUUCCUCCCCCACUAGUUUUUGUUUCCUGGUACAGUACAUCAAUCAAUAAUCUUAAGCUGUGCUUGAUCAUGACUAAUUCUUAGUGCGUGGGAAGGAUGUUCUUUUUUUUUCCUGACCUGUAUUUUUGUUUCUUCGUGAGUAUGAAUGUAAGAUCAUCAGUAAUUUAUGUUUCUCUAAGACCUUAAUAUAUAUGAAUUUAGAUGACAUAUACUUCUUUCAUGAUACUUCUUGUUUCAUUAGAUAAUUAAUAUUUUGUACAUGUUUUAUGUAUAGUUGAAAUUUUUUCUUCUUCUUGUCCAUCAAAAAUAGAUUGAGAUUUAACAACAAUAAACGUUGACGGUGAAACUCAAAUCAAGUAUGUGUUCCACACACUUGACGAACGAAUUGUGAUGGUUAAGUAUAUAAUUCAUUGAGCCUGUAUUAAUUAAGUAUGAAUUUGAAAUUGAGUAAGCAAAAACUACAUUCAGUAUAUUAAUUAUUCCACAGAUCUUACGGUAGUUAAGCACAAAAUCUAUAGGAUCUGUGAGCACGUGAAGCUCUGCUAUAUGAAAUUGCAAGAUUUCUCA
rnacentral:lncRNA from 1 species